GACGAACGCUGGCGGCGUGCUUAACACAUGCAAGUCGAACGGAAAGGCCCUGCUUUUGUGGGGUGCUCGAGUGGCGAACGGGUGAGUAACACGUGAGUAACCUGCCCUUGACUUUGGGAUAACUUCAGGAAACUGGGGCUAAUACCGGAUAGGAGCUCCUGCUGCAUGGUGGGGGUUGGAAAGUUUCGGCGGUUGGGGAUGGACUCGCGGCUUAUCAGCUUGUUGGUGGGGUAGUGGCUUACCAAGGCUUUGACGGGUAGCCGGCCUGGGAGGGGGACCGGGCACAAUGGGACUGAGGUACGGCCCAGUAUCCUACGGGAGGCAGCAGUGGGGAGUAUUACACAGUGGGCGGAAGCCUGAUGCGGAAACGCCGCGUGCGGGAUGACGGCCUUCGGGUUGUAAACCGCUUUCGCCUGUGACGAAGCGUGAGUGACGGUAAUGGGUAAAGAAGCACCGGCUAACUACGUG
rnacentral:rRNA from 1 species